AAACGUUGAGCGCCUCCUCGCGGCCCCUGGACGCCACCGGCGGGAGUGGGCGGCGGGGUAUAAAGGGGGUGGCUGGGCCACCGCCAGGUGGAGAACGAGGGGUUGAGGGCUCGUGCGCGUCGGCAGGCCACGUGGCGAUGGGGGGCAGCACGCGGAACCCGGGGGCCCUGCAAGGGGACAACGCUUCCGGCCAGUCUCCAUACCAGAGGUUAAGUCGGAGGAUGCGCGACAUUUCCGGGGACCGGGGCGUGUUGAAGGAUGUCAUCCGAGAGGGUGCUGGAGAGCUGGUGACACCCGAUGCUUCCGUGCUAGUGAAAUAUUCCGGAUAUCUGGAGCACAUGGACAAGCCUUUUGAUUCUAAUUGCUUUAGGAAAACUCCUCGCUUGAUGAAACUUGGAGAGGAUAUUACACUUUGGGGCAUGGAGCUGGGCCUUCUGAGCAUGCGGAGAGGAGAGCUGGCCAGGUUUCUGUUCAAACCAGCCUAUGCCUAUGGAACGCUGGGCUGCCCUCCCUUGAUCCCCCCAAACACUACUGUCCUGUUCGAGAUUGAGCUGCUUGACUUCCUGGACUCCGCUGAGUCAGACAAGUUUUGUGCCCUUUCAGCUGAGCAACAAGAUCAGUUUCCACUUCAGAAGGUCCUAAAAGUGGCAGCUACCGAACGGGAGUUUGGCAACUAUCUUUUCCGCCAAAGUCGUUUCUAUGAUGCCAAAGUGAGGUAUAAACGGGCCUUGCUGCUGCUUCACCGGCGAUCAGCACCCCCUGAAGAGCAGCACCUGGUGGAAGCAGCCAAGCUUCUUGUCCUCCUUAACCUGUCCUUUACAUACCUGAAGCUGGAGCGGCCCGCCACGGCCCUGCGUUAUGGAGAACAGGCUCUGAUCAUUGACCGGAAGAAUGCCAAGGCCCUCUUCCGGUGCGGACAGGCCUGUCUUAUCAUGACUGAGUAUCAGAAGGCUCGAGAUUUUCUAGUCCGAGCCCAGAAGGAACAGCCCUUCAAUCAUGACAUCAAUAACGAGCUGAAGAAACUGGCCAGCUAUUACAGGGACUACACAGAUAAAGAGAAAGAAAUGUGUCACCGAAUGUUCGCUGCUUAUGAUAAUGGCUCUACAGUAGGAGAAAAUUGAAGAGUAAUUCGUUGGGCAAACAAACCACGUCCAAUAAGGUGGUGUGAUUACAACGAACGGAAGGGAUUCAGGAUAUUCCCUGGACUGGCUGAUGAUGAACUGGGCGUUGGGAAUCCAAGUAUUCCCAGGUUUCUGAGCACAAACCCCUGGCUGGAUGUGACGUCACCGGCUGCAGUGAGGACAAGAAGAGAGGACUACUUAAGGAAGUAGAUGACACAGUUCUUCUAGAAGAGAAAGUGAGCAAGAAGGAGCCAAGACGAUGAUCCAGAGGAAAAAACACGAGGACCUGCCCUUCUAGCUAUUAAAGCAAAUGACACGUUCGCAAUCAUUCAAACCAACGAGUCCUGCGCAGCCGAUGCUGGGGGCACGGACGUGUGUCCCACACCAUUAGGAGCGGCUCUUCCUGUAUGGACCCAUCUGAACCUCAAGUUAAUCUCCUUUCACAGCUCCUGUCAUUUCCAGAGCACACCCAGGAAGGACAAGCAACCGGCGAGGACCAAGGAGGGACCAAGGUGGAGGGACAUCCUCCCUGCCUGUGCCGCAGCUGGGAGAGACACAAUGACGGGGCCAUGGACGCGGGGACUCCCUGGUGGGGUGACCUAAGGCAGAGAGGUAAGGCAGGGCAUAGGCCAAGUGUCUGGCCCAAGGUCCAGCUGACCACUCAGCCUCAGUUUCCUCAUCUGUAAAAUGGGGCAAAUAAGGUCAUGGGUAUGAAAGGGCCUCACAGGACACAGGGAGUGGUUGGGACCAUAAUCUGAAAGAGUUGGAGCCUGGAAGGGGAGGCAGUCUGGGCUGUGAAGCAGUGGGAGGCCCUCCCUGGGCCGUGGGGGGGGGGGGGGGGCCUGGGGGCAGCGUCCACACCUUUUCCUCCACACGUCCGUCCCUGGCUGAGGGAGGCCACGGUCCGGAGUGGCUAAAGGUCAUGCUUCUGCAUCUGACAGGCCUUGUCAGGCUUCUGCCCUCACACCUUGAGAGGCCAGUGUGGCCUAGAGCCAGGCUCCUAUGCUGGCUGCCCCGGAGGCGGGGGCUGGGGCGGGGCAGGAGGAAGGCUCCAGAACACAUUCAGGAGCUCAGGACCGUCCAGCCUGGAGCCUCCCCAGGCAGGGGCGGAGUAAGGAGGUGAGACCCUUGGUGGUCAGGGCCCACUUGCCCCACAGGCAGGUGACUUUCCCUGGGGAAGCCCCAGAGGCCAGCCCUGCAGACCGCAGCUUCAGAGGGGGGGUGGUCCUGGGCCCUGGAGCCAAGGGAGAACCCGGGCCGGGGAGCACGAGGCCCGUCCACUGCCGGGACAGCCUGUGGGCCUGGACCCGAGGCCCCCGGCUGCGCUGGGCAGGGCGGCAGAGGCAGCAGGGGCCGGGCUGGGGCCCUCCUUCCUCCCUGCUCGGCAGCUGAGGUUAUUUUUUUCCCCUCCGCUGCUGCUGAAUUUCCCUUCAAGUUGGAUAAAUAAGCAGCAGGUUCCAACGUCAACGAAACAGGAGCUGGAGCUGCCGCACAAAAGCGGCUUUCAGUAGCCGCGGGCGCCUCCCGGCCGCCCUGGCCCCAGGGUGGCUGCAGUAGCCCCAGCAGGGCUUGGGGCUGGACACAGGACGAGGGGCUCCCCAGAGGAGGGAUGCCUCUUCCCGGCAGCAACCCCAGAGUCCCUGCGCUGAGAGGGCCUGCUUCCUGUUCAUAGCUCUGCAACCCUCUGCCUCAAAUACCUCUCCCCUUCCCUUGGCCCGGUGAGAGCACCUUCCUCUCCAACACUCACGCACUCGCACUCGUCACCUCUUUGGGUCCCUGCCUGCACCCGCCCCCUGCCGCAGAGCCCACGCUUGUCCUUUGCCCCCCAUAGCAUGCCGUCCCUUAAAAUCUUCCCAGGCUCCCCGUUGCCCAACGGUAAAUCCCAGAUUUCCAGCCUCCACUACGGACCCUGGCAGGCUGCUGCCUUUUUCUCUCCAAAGCUUUUGCAAAGGCUGUGCCCUCUGUCUAGAACACCCUUCCCUCUCUUCUACCUGGCUCCCACUUAGCUUUGAGACCCAGCUCAUGUAUCACCUUCUGACACGCACCCUGGCGUCUCUCUAACCGCAGCAAUCGGCUGACACCACAGUGGUGGCUCUCCCGUCUACGACUCGGGCUGUCCCUGGGCCACCAGAGAGCAGGCGGCCAGGCUAGCCCGGCCUGUGCUGUGUGAGCAAAGGCUCCCGGCGCAAAGGAGGUGCUCAGUUAAUAUUUGCUGACAAAAGAUGUGAUUCCUACAAAAUCACAUUAACAUUCCACUCAUGUAAACUAAAUGCAAACCAAACUGUACUGACCGCAGUCCAGCACCUGGGAAGGGGAGAGAAGGUACAAGACAACUUUUGGGGGUGAAGAAUAUAUUCACGAUUAUUAUUUUUUAAUCCUGGCACUAUUGCUUGCCCUUAAGCCAGUAGCUCUAACUCUCCCUAAGCCCAUGAAAACUAAAAUAAGAGCCAUCUCAUAAGGUGUUAAGAGGACCAAAUAAGAUAUAAAUUAGGGGUGCCAAGCUGGCUCAGUUGGUAGAACAUGCGACUCCUGAUCAUCUCCGGGUCCUGAGUUCGGGCACAGAGCUCGCCAAAAAAAAAAAAAAAAAGGUAAAUGAAUACUUAAAAUAUGGUACUUUUUUUUAAGUUUAUUUAUUUAGGGGUGCCUGGGUGGCUCAGUCGGUUAAGUGUCUGACUUCGGCUCAGGUCACGAUCUCAUGGUUCGUGAGUUCGAGCCCCGCGUCGGGCUCUCUGCUGUCAGCGCAGAGCCCGCUUGGGGUCCUCUGUCCCCCUCUCUCACUGCCCCUCCCCUGCUCGCUCUCUCUCUCUCUCUCUCAAAAAUAAAUACACUUUUU